rnacentral:rRNA from 1 species
AUUGAACGCUGGCGGCAUGCCUUACACAUGCAAGUCGAACGGCAGCACGGGUGCUUGCACCUGGUGGCGAGUGGCGAACGGGUGAGUAAUACAUCGGAACGUACCUUAUCGUGGGGGAUAACGCAGCGAAAGCUGUGCUAAUACCGCAUACGCCCUGAGGGGGAAAGCGGGGGAUCGAAAGACCUCGCGCGAUUAGAGCGGCCGAUGCCUGAUUAGCUUGUUGGGGGGGUAAAAGCCCACCAAGGCGACGAUCAGUAGCUGGUCUGAGAGGACGAUCAACCACACGGUGACUGAGACACGGCCCAGACUCCUACGGGAGGCAGCAGUGGGGAAUUUUGGACAAUGGGGGCAACCCUGAUCCAGCAAUGCCGCGUGAGUGAAGAAGGCCUUCGGGUUGUAAAGCUCUUUUGUCAGGGAAUAAACACCGGCUCUAACACAGUCCGGGAAUGACGGUACCUGAAGAAUAAGCACCGGCUAACUACGUGCCAGCCGCCGCGGUAA